UAAAAAGAGAGGCUGGGGGUGCUGCCCUCCUCUGGAGAGCUGUUGGGGGGUGAAGGCUGGUCCUGUUCCCAAACCAGGGGGUGAAGGGAAACCCAGUUUGGGGCUGGGGCACCAAAGCUGCAGGCAAAACUACAAGCUGCAGCUUCAGCCUAUUGUCUGGAAAAUGUCCAGAGCCAGUACGACACCAGGGGAAGAAGUGAUGGGCAUCGAUGGCAAGGGCACUGCAGCAGCACCCAGUGGACCCAGCUGGCUUGGUGGGCUGUGGUACCUGCUGUGAGCCAUGGAGACUCAAGAAGCACAGGUUCUGCAAUGGCACAAGAUGAAAUGGAGCUGAAUAUGGAAGCAGCUGUUUCACAGGCAAACUUAUCAAACAAAACCUGAUCUGUAAGAAUCCUGGUCAUUGCCACCUGUCUAACCUCUCUGUGCUGGCCUUUCUCCAGGUAAAAGUCAUUGAAUACACACCUGUGUAACUCCAGAUUCGCACUGAAAUCACUCCUCUAACAUCAAACUACACAGCUAGGUGGUAAAUCAGAUCUGUUAUUUUCCAGGAUCAGUGUAACACAACAGACAACAUAACAUCUUGACCGAGGACGAUUUUACAUUUCUUUUAUCCAUUGCAAAAACCUUCUGUAACGUGUGGAGUAUAAAGCUCACAAAUUGCAUUGUAAAGGAACUACCAUAAAGUAUAUGCUUCCAAUGGACCUUUUACAAUAUAACACAAAAUUCAAAUGACAGUUUUUAGGAAAGCACUUUAAACUUUCACACUUAUGUCCUGACAACAUUAGAUUACUGUAAGCUGUAAAUUGUAAGAAGUUUUAUGUGAUUAAAUAAAAUCAGCAUUACAAUUUCCAGGUAUUGUAAUUAUUAAACAGAUCAUGACAACAAGAUAUAAUGUAAACGUGAAGCUCAGGAUACUGGUACUGAGAAAACUCGAUAAAAUUCUUUGUAGAUUUAUAUUUGCACAUAUUAAAAUAGAUAACAACUGGAGAAGAGGUUACAGUAUUUCAUCUUACAUAUUGAUAUCAGUGUUUUGCAAGCAGCAGUCUAUACAACAUCAUCCUCAUUUUAUUAUUAUUUUACAGAAUCAAUACUACUUUAAAAACCAUCUCCCCGUCAAAUACUGCUGCCAGGUCUCAAGACAAUAUAUGGAAGGACAUAUUUAAAAACAUCAGAUUUUGUUAAUUGUCUGUGUAUGUGUGGAAAUGUGGGAUUUUAUAUAUAUAAAUAUAUAUAAAAUCAUAAACCCCACUGAACCUUCAAAAUGGAACUACCUCUAGGUAAUGGACCACUGGGUAUACACGGUAUGCUGAAAAUGCCCCUUCGUGGACGUUUCCUGGUUCUGGAGCUCAACCCAUUUCUCCACCCAGUGGGCAAGAGAACCAGGAGUAGAGGAGUAGUAAGUUGAUGCAGCUACAUUACAUUAAGGUCACAGGUCAAUGCUGAUGGACUAAGGUAAUCAAGCAAAUUUAGGGAGACCAGGAGCCCAAUUUCUCCUGAAAAUGAAGGCGUGUGGAUGCCUAACUCCUGCAGAUUCAUCUAAAACUCCCAGCUGUGCACAAUCUGGCUUGCAGCUCUUCAGCCCUGCCUGAAACUUGUGCUGAGUGGUGAAGCACAAGCGACAGCAGGGCCACGACCUAAGCAAGGCUCUUACAGAAUCUCACAGUGCUAUUUAUUUUGGUAAAUAUCAAACUAAAUGUAAAGGUACCUUCUGAAAUAUAAACAGCUCAACUGAAAAAAAUAAUCCACUGUGUUUCACUCCAUUUUGCUUCUGACAGGGACUUUCCUAGGAGUGCUUACAUGCAAGUAUCGUGCUAUCAUAUCUGAUACCGUAGCAAUUAGAAUUGCCUAUUUUAUUAAAUACAGAUUAAUCAAUGGAAAGAUACUAGUGAAAGUGAAAUAAAAUGUGCUUUUAGACCUGGAAUUGGACAUACUUGAGACAUCAGGAAAAAUAAUAGUAAAAUAAUUCAUGAAAACAUCACAAAAUGAAUUGGUUUCCAAGUAGAUCAGGAUACCCUCCUAAUAUUGCACAAGCAUCUCUCACACAGCAAUCUGCACUAUGUUUUUUGCACUGUAUUUUACAGAAAAGGUUUAACUUUAGUGAUGACGGUCAACACAUUUGUCUUUAAACAGCUCUUUGUUCUACUGUACAGGCAUAUAAUGGGAAAAAGGAAAGCUACAUCUCACUGCAAGUAGAACAUCAUAGACCUUAAGACAUUCCAGAGAUGUUUGAUUUAAAAUAUUGAUAUGUAGCAUAUUUCUGUGUAAAAUAAACACUCUUUUCCAAGUA